AGCGGAAUAGCUCAGGGGAAGAGCGCGGGGCUCAUAACCCCGAGGCCCCAGGAUCGAAACCUGGUUCCGCUA